UAGGGAAUCUUCGGCAAUGGACGAAAGUCUGACCGAGCAACGCCGCGUGAGUGAAGAAGGUUUUCGGAUCGUAAAACUCUGUUGUUUGAGAAGAACAAGGACGUUAGUAACUGAACGUCCCCUGACGGUAUCUAACCAGAAAGCCACGGCUAACUACGUGCCAGCAGCCGCGGUAAUACGUAGGUGGCAAGCGUUGUCCGGAUUUAUUGGGCGUAAAGCGAGCGCAGGCGGUUUCUUAAGUCUGAUGUGAAAGCCCCCGGCUCAACCGGGGAGGGUCAUUGGAAACUGGGGGACUUGAGUGCAGAGGAGGGGAGUGGAGUUCCAUGUGUAGCGGUGAGAUGCGGAGAUAUAUGGAGGAAAACCAGAGGCGAAGGCGGCUCUCUGGUCUGUAACUGGCGAUGAGGCUCGAAAGCGUGGGGAGCAAACAGG
rnacentral:rRNA from 1 species